rnacentral:rRNA from 1 species
AUGGAGAGGGCGACGCCAGUGCGGAGCCCGCACACCUCGACGGCCGACCUGCUCACGUGGUCGGCCACGGGCGCCGACGCCUCCGCCGCCUCGCCGGCAGCCCCGUCCCGCCCCAGUCUCAAGCCGGCUGGGGGGAUCACGCCGGCCAUGUUCGGCGCGCCGGUGAGCGAGCACGAGGCCGAGGAUCUGAGCAACAGUGAAAGGAGAUUGAUGUCCGGUUCAAAGAUGAAGGAAAUGACUGGGAGUGGGAUAUUUGCUGAGAAGAACGAGAAUAGUGAUUCAGAGUCUUCAAAUCCUGCAAACAGAACUUCUGUGAGGAUGUAUCAGCAAACUGUAACUGGAGUAAGUCAGAUCUCAUUUAGCGCUGAUGGAAGUGUUUCUCCAAAGAAGCCAUCCUCAAUUCCUGAAGUGGCUAAGCAGCGAGAGCUUAGUGGCACAUUUGAGACUGAUGCUGAAGCUAAAAUUAAUAAGCAGCUUUCUGAAGCCAAGAACAAGGAGCUCAGCGGAAGCAAUAUCUUUGGUCCACCUCCUGAGACCCCUGCAAGGCCACUGGCUGCUCGUAAUAUGGAGCUACAAGGAAAUGUAGAUUUUGCACUUCCACAACGAAGAAGUGUGCACACAUCAGUGAAAGUAUCCAAUCCUGCUGGAGGUCCAAGCAACAUCACGUUCAGUGAGGAUCCUGUAACGAAGACAGCAAAGAAAAUUCACAACCAGAAGUUCCAAGAGCUGACAGGCAAUAACAUAUUCAACGAGGAUGCCCCCCCUGGCUCAGCUGACAAGUCUUUGAGCUCAGCAAAGCUUAAGGAGAUGAGCGGCAAUGACAUCUUCUCUGAUGGAAAGGCGUCUUCGCGAGACUACCUCGGCGGUGUCCGGAAGCCCCCUGGUGGCGAGAGCAGCAUUGCACUCAUCUAA